ensembl:lncRNA
UACAUGGAUCAUUAGUGAAGUUUAAUGUUAACCUGCAUGGCUUGUUCUUUUUUUUUGUUUCUUUUUUUCAACACACCAGAUACACUGUUAAUAUUUACACAAAGAACUCAGGAUGUAAAAAAUAAUGGUUCAAUUCUUCCACACUUUCUUUCCUACCGCAGCUCUAGUAGUGUCUGCUACAUCAGAUGAUUACCGUCCACUUAAAUGUACAGAUGAGGGUUUCAAGAGAAAUAUACCCACUAUUUAGAAAAAGAAAAGUAACAUGAAACAAAAGAAAAGUUAUAAACAAAAAUCAUAGAAAAAGAUGAAGGUCAACACAAUUGAGGACAGACAAAACAAUUUAGAAAUAAAUAGAAGUACAUUUCAUCCCAAGAAUGCAGUAGCGGUAAUAAUAUUAAUCACAGUUAUAGUCAUAAUAAUAAUAACGAUAGUAAUAAUAAUAAUAAUAAUAAGGGAGGUUGUUAUUAACAAUGUGUCACAAGAAAGCAUUCUGUGUGUUUGUGUUUUCAUACAGCAGUUACACCAAGACAACAUGUCGAUGCUGCAGUUCAAACCGGACGAAACCGGUUCCACUCAGAACUCGCACACCGAUUCAGCCAUCGCAGGACAACAAUGAGCAAAAGGAGAUUUUUUUUACCCAAAUUCAUACAACCGUCAAGAGUAAACACUAACACCUUCAACAUCUCAAGGGUUAAUCUACUUGUCAUUUUUUAAACAUCUUUCACAUCGAGCACAAACACAAGUAUUCUCAUUUUUUAUCCUAUACACAAACCUGACAUGGCAAAAAGAAAAUGUGUGAACCUUUCAGUUAUUUAUGCAGUUGUGUUAUGUGUCGUGGACGUGUUGUGUGUGUUGGUGGCAGUGUGUUAGAGUUGGCUCGUCGUAGGAGAGUUAGCUUAUGUAUGGUUUAAUAGCGACAGUCACAGUGUGUGUUAUAUAUUUGUAAAGCUCAAUCGAUACAGUCUAUACGGAAGUGUUCUCUAGAAAAAUACAGUAGCAAGCUCUUUCUUCAGCGGAUUAUUGUUCAACCCUUUAGGCUUUUGAGAGGUGCAAUCCUAAAAUAAAACAUUUCAAUAUGUGGGAGGGCUGUCCUGGGAAAAAAAAGUUGGCUUUUUGAGCAAUUAGUAAAAAAUAAAUAAAUAAAUGAAAACUAAACAAACCUUGAAUACACCAUGAAAAACAAAGUUUUCCUAGGGCAGCCCUAAAAAGUGAUUGUCAUAUUCAUCUAUUGCACCUGCGUAGAGGAGGCUCUGUUCCCCCCCUCGAUAAAAAAUCCCACCUAGGACCCUUGUGUUAAUUAACCUUCCAGUAAACUCCAUUUAGAAACACAGCGUGUGGCAAGCAGUAAUGUAAACUAGCUGAGCAUGUUGCCAAUCUUCGCUGUACAUUCCCUUGAACAAAUACGGUCGAAUGUAAACGUUAGCAUGGAAGCAAAUGGAAAACAAUACAAAAUAAUAUGACUAAAAAUACACAUUAGCAAAAUAGAAUGCUCCUAGCCUUGGCAACUAACAAUACUGCUAUGAAUAAUAUUAAUAAUAACAUUAAUAAUAAUUAUAUUAAUAUACUGUCAUGUAAGAGGGAAAAAUAGUUGCUUAUUUUUAGCCCUUAUCUGUUCUUAUUUUAUGGUGAGGACAACGUGUCUUUCUUAUAAUUCAACCUAUCCAAAUCGAAUCAAAUAUGGCUGCAGUUUUUUAAUGACGAGGGGAAGAAGGGAGUAACUGCCAAUUCCGACCACUCUGCCAAUAACUCAUGAAAAAGGGGGGCAGGCCAUGUCCUAUUUAUAGGUAAACAAUUCUAAAAAAGUAUUAAUAGUUACAUCAUUUUUUUCAGAUUACACAUCCAAAUCACAAAUACAGUACGUUAUGUAGUUUUUCUUGAAGAAGCAAGCAUAUAAUCGACAAAAAAAACAACGGAAAAAAGCAACAAUGAACACGGAUAUAAGCGGUCACGGCCGCGGUGAGUCAAAUAAAAAACGAAAUCGAAAAAGCGACCGAAUAAACAAAAGAAUGGCAAACACAGUACAUGGUUAGACACGUAGCGUUGGGAAUGAGGACCCGGAUCCCACGGGCACAAGGGAGCAGCGGAGAGGGGUGGAGGAGGUUGGAGGAGGGCGGUGGGGAGAUAACAGCGUCUAACGGCUAACAGCACUAGGUGUUGUGUUUCUAUAUGCUACGCCUUCCGUGAUACAAGCAGUGCACGACACACAAGGUAGGGACAAGGGGGGUCACAGAGGGAGGACGGAGACAGCUCACAUAUAAAAGACACCACCCGUAUACUGAGCUCACACUACACCGACGUGUGGAGGAGUUGGAGGAGACAGGGGAGGCGUCGCAGUCACGGUUCCGCUGGUCGUUGCGUAGAUCCUCGGAGGUG